rnacentral:lncRNA from 1 species
CGCUGCGGGAAGGGUGAAAAUCGGCGGGGGAGGGGGCGGGUUUGAGAAGGCUUUCGCGUUGUUCUCCGUCAAGGAUGCGGAUCUGCCCUCGUCGUCCUUCCAUAUUUACUCUCUCUUUUCUUUUUUCCCCUCCCCCCUUCCCACUUGUAAUUUGGCUGGAAACUUUAGGUCCGGCCUCAAGUAUUUUAUAAGCAGCCAAACGACUAAAGCUAGGCGCCCUCAGGCUAAGUUUUGUUGGAUUCGUUUGGUGCGUUGUUGUUCUCCGGGGUCACCUGCUCCUGUUCUCAAGGACCAGGUCACCGGGCUGUGGCACAAGGCCAGCAUUCAGUGACAGAAAUACCCGGUGCUGAGGCAGGGGCCGUGCUCAAACUGCCACUUCCACAAAGCUCAGACCUGUGAAGACUGAGAAGCAGGUGGUGGCCCUGGGCUGGCAGGAGCCCAACAUGCAUUCCCUUGGUCGGGGGGGGGGAAGUACCUGCCAUCUUAGGGGUAUCCACCAUCUUGGGGUAUCCACCAUCUUGGGGGUAGCCGCCAUCUUGGGGUAUCCACCAUCUUGGGGGUAGCCGCUGUCUGGGACCUCAGGGGUGAGUUGGGUCCCCGGGGCAGAGCGGUGGCUGUGAUCUGUCGCCAAGCAGAGGGCCUCGGCCCCCUUCCUAAAGGAACACGGUGGUUUUAUGAAGCCUUUGGUGUUUGAAUCUUCCCUUCGCAUAAAAAGGAUCAAUGGCAGAGGCACCUAGAACUGGGUAACAAGUCACUGACAGUCUACGGGCAGCGCCAGCUUUGUUCUGCGGUGACUGUUUAAGGCUGCAGUCUCGUAGCUGCCUCAAGUUUGCCUGUAUCUGCUGUGCUCCACCACAUGAACCCGCUGCAUCCUUUGGCAGGCCGUCACGUUCAUUUGGUAACCAGAGAGUCGCCUGUGAAUCCGGAGAGGGGUGACAUGACUCACUUCGUUGCGCAGAUCAUGUCAACGGCUGGACAGACUGGCCUUGCUGUGAGAGUUGUCAGGUGGCAGAUACACAGUGUGUGCGCUUAA